UACGGAGGAUGCAAGCGUUAUCCGGAAUGCUUGGGCGUAAAGGGUCCGCAGGUGGCAAUGUGUGUCUGCUGUCAAAGAAUGAGGCUUAACCUCAUCAAGGCAGUGGAAACUACAUAGCUAGAGUACGGUCGGGGUAGAAGGAAUUCCUGGUGUAGCGGUGAAAUGCGUAGAGAUCAGGAAGAACACCGGUGGCGAAAGCGUUCUGCUAGACCUGUACUGACACUGAGGGACGAAAGCUAGGGGAGCGAAUGGG
rnacentral:rRNA from 1 species